CCAAUAGCGUAUAUUAAAGUUGUUGCAGUUAAAAAGCUCGUAGUUGAAUUUCGGGAUUGACACAUCGGUCGUGCCUUAAGGGGUCUGAACUGGUGUAGUCAAUUUCUCACCUUCUGGAGAACCGCAAUGCCCUUAAUUGGGUGUCGCGGGGAACCAGGACCUUUACUUUGAAAAAAUUAGAGUGUUUAAAGCAGGCAUUUUGCUUGAAUACAUUAGCAUGGAAUAAUAAAAUAGGACGGCAUGAUUCUAUUUUGUUGGUUUCUAGGAUCACCGUAAUGAUUAAUAGGGAUAGUUGGGGGCAUUAGUAUUCAAUUGUCAGAGGUGAAAUUCUUGGAUUUAUUGAAGACUAACUACUGCGAAAGCAUUUGCCAAGGAUGUUUUCAUUAAUCAAGAACGAAAGUUAGGGGAUCGAAGACGAUCAGAUACCGUCGUAGUCUUAACCAUAAACUAUGCCGACUAGGAAUCAGACGAUGUUAAUUUUUUAAUGACUCGUUUGGCACCUUACG
rnacentral:rRNA from 1 species